UACGUAGGGUGCAAGCGUUGUCCGGAAUUAUUGGGCGUAAAGAGCUCGUAGGCGGUUUGUCGCGUCUGCUGUGAAAACGCGAGGCUCAACCUCGCGCCUGCAGUGGGUACGGGCAGACUGGAGUGCGGUAGGGGAGAUUGGAAUUCCUGGUGUAGCGGUGGAAUGCGCAGAUAUCAGGAGGAACACCGAUGGCGAAGGCAGACUCUGGGCCGUUACUGACGCUGAGAGCGAAAGCGUGGGGAGCGAACAGG
rnacentral:rRNA from 1 species